UUCAGCAAGUGGGGGCGGAGGUCUCAGCGAGCAAUCGGCUGGAUGUACUGUGGAUUUUAUUUCAUCGCCAUCGAUGGUGGAUAGGCACCUAUCGGCAUUGGCGUUCCUAUUCAAGUUCAAUGAGUGGGAAGACGUGAUGAAACAUUUUAUGGUGAGGCAAGCGGUUCAGGGUUUCAGGAGGGGUAAGAAGGUAAGAGAUACGAGGAGACCAGUUUCGUUCACAGUACUGCAAGGGUUGGUGGGCAAGUUACCAG